rnacentral:rRNA from 1 species
UGCAAGUCGAGCGAGAAAGUGACUUCGGUCGCGAGUAAAGCGGCGAACGGGUGACUACAACAUGGAUAAUCUACCCUAGGGUCUGGGACAACCCCGAGAAAUCGGGGCUAAUACCGGAUAAGACCACAGUAUCCGAGGAUACAGCGGUAAAAGAUUUAUCGCCCUUGGAUGAGUCCACGCCCCAUCAGGUAAUUGGUAAGGUAAAGGCUUACCAAGCCUAAGACGGGUAGCCGGCCUUAGCGGGUGAACGGACACAUGGGGACUGAGACACGGCCCUGACUCCUACCGGAGGCAACAGUGGGGAAUAUUGGGCAAUGGGCGAAAGCCUAACCCAACGAUGCCGCGUGAGGGAUGAAGGCCUUCGGGUUGUAAACCUCUGUCAGGAGGGACGAUGGGACACUUGUGUCUUGACGGUACCUCCAGAGGAAGCCCCGGCUAACUCCGUGCCAGCAGCCGCGGUAAUACGGAGGGGGCAAGCGUUGCUCGGAAUUACUGGGCGUAAAGGGUCCGCAGGCUGUCAGGCAAGUUAGUUGUGAAAGCUCAAGGCUUAACCUUGGAAUUGCAUCCAAAACUGCCUGACUAGAGUCCAAGAGAGGUUGGCGGAAUUCCCGGUGUAGCGGUGAAAUGCAUAGAUAUCGGGAGGAACACCAGAGGCGAAGGCGGCCAACUGGCUUGGUACUGACGCUCAGGGACGAAAGCGUGGGUAGCAAACCGGAUUAGAUACCCGGGUAGUCCACGCCCUAGCGAUGGAUGCUAGGUAGGGGGAAUUUAUUUCUCCCUGCCGUAUUUAACGCAUUAAUCAUCCCGCCUGGGGAGUACGGUCGCAAGGCUGAAACUCAACGAAUUGG